GACGAACGCUGGCGGCGUGCCUAAUACAUGCAAGUAGAACGCUGAAGGAGGAGCUUGCUUCUCUGGAUGAGUUGCGAACGGGUGAGUAACGCGUAGGUAACCUGCCUGGUAGCGGGGGAUAACUAUUGGAAACGAUAGCUAAUACCGCAUAAUAGUAGAUGUUGCAUGACAUUUGCCUAAAAGGUGCAAUUGCAUCACUACCAGAUGGACCUGCGUUGUAUUAGCUAGUUGGUGGGGUAACGGCUCACCAAGGCGACGAUACAUAGCCGACCUGAGAGGGUGAUCGGCCACACUGGGACUGAGACACGGCCCAGACUCCUACGGGAGGCAGCAGUAGGGAAUCUUCGGCAAUGGACGGAAGUCUGACCGAGCAACGCCGCGGGAGUGAAGAAGGUUGUCGGAUCGUAAAGCUCGGUUGUAAGAGAAGAACGGGUGUGAGAGUGGAAAGUUCACACUGUGACGGUAUCUUACCAGAAAGGGACGGCUAACUACGUG
rnacentral:rRNA from 1 species